CAUGAGGAACCUGUUGCGUCUGUGAUAAACUGGCAAGCAGUGACGCGGCAUGGUAAGCAAAAGGCUCGGGACACUGUAUCGCCAGUUCUGUCUCCCGUCCUGGAGCCCACAGCCUCUAGCAGCUUCUUCCCUGCUAAGACAAGAAACCUACACGGUGCUGUCCUAAACGUGGUUACCUUCUUUUUUCCACCUUCUGUGAUGUACUGGGAGAAACAAGGUGGCGGUGGCAAACAUUGGUUUGGGGAUAACAUCCGCCUAAUAGAAGCUUUUGCACGCGUUUUCAACUUUACUUUUAGGUACAAGGAACCACCGCCGGGCGAAGUGUGGGGUGAGUUAACGGCAAAUGGAACCUGGAACGGCAUGGUGGGUAUGUUGGGUCGCGGCGAGGGUGAUGUCGGGCUAGCAAACCUCUUUAUCACGGCCUUGAAGGGAAGAGAAGAGUUCCAAGGAUAUACUGCACCUUAUGGUCAAGCGAAAACAUGCUUCUUAGUGAAACGGGACGCACCUUUACCAAGAUGGCACUCUCUAGCGCUCCCCUUUACUUCAGACACAUGGAUCGUUGUGGUUGUGUUGAUGCUUCUUGUGGGUCCGCUGCUUUACUUUCUUGCACGCCCAGCUCU